GAACUCCUCGGAGUCUGUGUUCCGGUGGGGUAGGUUCAGCCACAAAGAGCUGAAACAUGCAAAGCCAUAACCACCACCUCCACAAAAUAUCGCAUGGAAAAUUCCAAACUCAUGUGCAAUCUCUGCACACCAUGAAAAGAACAUGUCUGUGAUGAUACACAGUGGAGGCUGACAACAUGAUUCGUGGACAAUAUCAGAAAUUAAUUUCCUGAAAACGGGUUUGAGAGCUAGAGAAGAUUGAAGAAAAGUUGCGAUGAGAUCAUAGGGAAGAGAGUCGGUAUUUUCGGGAUUGGGAGGAAGGCCAUAAUCAGAGCUAUUGAAGGGGAUUUCAAGGAGGUGAAUUGAAGAGUCCUGAGGCAAAGAUGAUCUUAGCUCCUGAAUAUUGAGAGGCGUGUAAACAAAGGUUACCGUAUAAUCUUUUCUCUGCUGAAGUUGAAGGGCUAAAGCUAGGAAAGGGAUUAUAUGGCGUUGCGCCAUGAACGGAAUCAUUACUAUUCUCUGCUUACUUUCUGCCAUUCUUCUUCUCUAGAGGAAGAUUGGAAGUCCCGAAGUGACA
rnacentral:misc_RNA from 1 species